UCACUGAGCCACACGGAGAGUGCGUGCCGUCUGCACAAAGCUUGACCGACGCGUUUUUUCUUCCAACAAACUUGUUUUUUCCCCACUGUUUUCACAGUCUUUGAUACUUCCAAAAGAGGCGAAUGAGGUGCCAUUUCUACAGCGAGCCACUCUCCAGAAAGCUUCAAGGCAAGAACAAAGAAUUAGUCGACCGCAACUUUAAAAGUCAUGGAUAGAUGGGUGAGUGAUCUAACUUCAUCCCUCAGCUCGUUCUUCAACCAAGAAGACUCUAUAGCGCAAGUAGUGGAGGUGCUCAAAAACAUUGGCGUCUGUUCAGCUGAGGGUAUGUGGAGGCAGAUGACCUUGCAGCAGUCCUGAGGCCAAUAGAGGCCAGAAAAGUUAUGGCCUGCAUUAAAAAUUUAGUGACUAGAGUAGAGGAUAAAUCCUCCUCAAUAUCUACCAGCCACAUGGAAGAACCCAGCACUGAAGAUUCAUUCAUGAGUGACAACAUAAGUGAUGAUAUCCCCAUGAGUGUUCACUCCACACCAAAAUCCACUGCUACAAGCAGUCCAGCUUUGACCAUAGCCUCACCUACUGGAUCAGAGAGCAGUGUCAGAGAAGUUAAUAGCUGGCAUUACAGCUUUGACAUACCCUGGAGUAAGAUGCCCUCCAGUACAAGGAAACUGUUCG